AGGGCUGUAGCUCACUGGUAGAACAUCUGUGCUGCCUACAGAAGGUCUCAGGUUCAAUACCUGACAUCUCUG